AUUGAACGCUGGCGGCAGGCCUAACACAUGCAAGUCGAGCGGAUGAAGGGAGCUUGCUCCUGGAUUCAGCGGCGGACGGGUGAGUAAUGCCUAGGAAUCUGCCUGGUAGUGGGGGAUAACGUCCGGAAACGGGCGCUAAUACCGCAUACGUCCUGAGGGAGAAAGUGGGGGAUCUUCGGACCUCACGCUAUCAGAUGAGCCUAGGUCGGAUUAGCUAGUUGGUGGGGUAAAGGCCUACCAAGGCGACGAUCCGUAACUGGUCUGAGAGGAUGAUCAGUCACACUGGAACUGAGACACGGUCCAGACUCCUACGGGAGGCAGCAGUGGGAAAUAUUGGACAAUGGGCGAAAGCCUGAUCCAGCCAUGCCGCGUGUGUGAAGAAGGUCUUCGGGUUGUAAAGCACUUUAAGUUGGGAGGAAGGGCAGUAAGUUAAUACCUUGCUGUUUUGACGUUACCAACAGAAUAAGCACCGGCUAACUUCGUG
rnacentral:rRNA from 1 species